AGGACGAACGCUGGCGGCGUGCUUAACACAUGCAAGUCGAGCGGUGAUCCUCCUUCGGGAGGUGAUCAGCGGCGAACGGGUGAGUAACACGUGGGCAACCUGCCCCUCACACUGGGAUAACCUCGGGAAACCGGGGCUAAUACCGGAUACGACCUCGAGCGGCAUCUCUUGAGGUGGAAAGCUCCGACGGUGAGGGAUGGGCCCGCGGCCUAUCAGCUUGGUUGGUGGGGUAAUGGCCUACCGAAGGCGACGACGGGUAGCC
rnacentral:rRNA from 1 species